rnacentral:rRNA from 1 species
UACGAAGGGGCUAGCGUUGUUCGGAAUUACUGGGCGUAAAGCGCGCGCAGGCGGUCCUUUAAGUCGGGGGUGAAAGCCCAGAGCUCAACUCUGGAACUGCCUUCGAAACUAGAGGACUUGGGUACGGGAGAGGUGAGUGGAAUUCCGAGUGUAGAGGUGAAAUUCGAUAGAUAUUCGGAAGAAACACCAGUGGCGAAGGCGGCUCACUGGCCCC